rnacentral:pre_miRNA from 1 species
UGACUUUGGUCAAAGUCAAACCACUCUAAGUUUGACUAAUUUUUAUAGAAAAAAGUAGUAAUAUUUUUAACCCAAGAUAAAUAUAUUAUAAAAAUUUAUUCAAUUAUAGAUUUAAUGAAACUAUACUAGUGUUGUAAAUAUUACUACUUUUUCUACAGAAUUAAUCAAACUUAGAGUAGUUUGACUUUGACCAAAGUUAA